UACGUAGGGUGCGAGCGUUAAUCGGAAUUACUGGGCGUAAAGCGUGCGCAGGCGGUUUUGUAAGCCAGAUGUGAAAUCCCCGGGCUUAACCUGGGAAUGGCAUUUGGGACUGCAAGGCUUGAGUGCGGCAGAGGAGACUGGAAUUCCUGGUGUAGCAGUGAAAUGCGUAGAUAUCAGGAGGAACACCAAUUGCGAAGGCAGCUCGCUGGGACGUUACUGACGCUGAGACGCGAAAGCGUGGGGAGCAAACAGG
rnacentral:rRNA from 1 species